rnacentral:rRNA from 1 species
GACGAACGCUGGCGGCGUGCUUAACACAUGCAAGUCGAACGGAAAGGCCCUGCUUGCAGGGUACUCGAGUGGCGAACGGGUGAGUAACACGUGGGUGAUCUGCCCUGCACUUCGGGAUAAGCCUGGGAAACUGGGUCUAAUACCGGAUAGGAGCCAUUUUUAGUGUGAUGGUUGGAAAGUUUUUUCGGUGUAGGAUGAGCUCGCGGCCUAUCAGCUUGUUGGUGGGGUAAUGGCCUACCAAGGCGGCGACGGGUAGCCGGCCUGAGAGGGUGGACGGCCACAUUGGGACUGAGAUAAGGCCCAGACUCCUACGGGAGGCAGCAGUGGGGAAUAUUGCACAAUGGGCGCAAGCCUGAUGCAGCGACGCCGCGUGGGGGAUGACGGCCUUCGGGUUGUAAACUCCUUUCGCUAGGGACGAAGCUUUUUGUGACGGUACCUAGAUAAGAAGCACCGGCUAACUACGUG